ensembl:rRNA 5S_rRNA 5S ribosomal RNA
AUCUAUAGCCAUACUACCCUCAACCUACCUGAUCUCAGAAGCAAAGCAGGGUCGGGCCUAGUUAGUGCUUGGACAGGAGCAGUGUGAAACACCACCAAUAUAUUAUCUCAUAGUUUCUGUAAGUC